ACCGCCGGCUGCGGGUUCUGCUCCUCCGCCGUCGAGCUCACCUCCGCGUACGAGCUGCUCAGAUCAACACAGCACUGAAUGUCUUGUAUGUACAGGUAACAUUCUGAAAUUGAAGCAAAAUAGGAUGGAUGGGAAUGGAAGUUGCAGAAGUUCACUUGAAAAGCAAGGGAACAGAUGUCCACUUUUUCUCGAAACGAAAAACGAAACUGUGCGGUUCUGAACCCAAGUGCUCGAAGGAAUAAGAGGUCAGAUUAAAAAUGGUCUCGAAAUUGUGCCAGAAAGGUAGUAGUACUGCUACAAUAUGUCAUAAUCCAUUAAUCCGGGGAAAUUGAUGUACUUGUUUAGCCUGACUUUGCUCAGUUAGCAAGGCACUGUUGUCCAAGAACACACCUGUUAACAGUAGCUUAAUCAGUUAAUUAUUUCAGAAUCAGUUAACUAAAUCCACUUGAUCCUUAUGUGCAAUACCUUCUGUGUAUAUCUCUGCAAAGUUACUGCGUGUUUCUUGACAGUAAAAACUUUCAUCAGUCUGGCAACCAUGCAACCAAGUGACACCCAUGAUGGUGAUAAUGAGAGCUGUAGGCUGUAGCUUUCUGGGCAAUAAUUAACCGAUUCAGAUCUGCAUAUUGUCAAGCAUUACAUUGGUUCAUGCAUGGAUGGUUGCAUGGCUGCAAGGAGGGUCCAUACAGAUCAUCACCACAACUGUGGUGCAACUGAAAAACAGUUGGAUGUCGGCGCCAACGUGGGUACACUAGAUGUGAUGCUGCUGCUUCAGGAUCAUCACCAAUCACUCGAUGACAGACAAGCAACACACUGCACGCAAACAAGAAGAAAUGAAAUAAACAGGAGUAUAAUUUACAGAUCAGAUAAAUUUGUUGUUUUCAAAGAUUAAUCACGUAGAUCUGUUCCAUUGAUCCAUCAUACACAUUAAGAGAGGAUUUCAGGUGACAUCUGGAACACCAUAUUUUUCAGAACUUUGCAUACUAGGUGCUGUACUGUGAAUUUACUGUGUUUGAUGACUAUUGGAAGAUACUCCAAUAUCUUGAAGAAAAUGGGUGUUGAUAGAAUAAGAAAAGAAAAGAAAACUUGA